rnacentral:rRNA from 1 species
GACAGAGGUGCCGAGCGUUAGGCGGAAUCACUGGGCUUAAAGCGUGUGUAGGCGGGCGGGCAAGUACCUUGUGAAAUCCCACGGCUCAACCGUGGAACGGCUGGGUAUACUGCCUGUCUUGAGCCAACUAGGGGCGAGCGGAACAGGACGGUGGAGCGGUGAAAUGCGUAGAUAUCGUCUGGAACGCCGAAGGUGAAAACAGCUCGCUGGGGUUGUGCUGACGCUGAGACACGAAAGCCAGGGGAGCGAACGGG